rnacentral:lncRNA from 1 species
AGUUAAAACUAAAUUCAGUGAAAUAAUUUGCCUUGAGGACUUUCUGUGUGUACUAAGAAAAAUGUGUGUGAAUGACAGCUGGACAUACCUCAACCUAGCAUGAAGCACCCAGGACUUCACUGCUCCCUUUGGGAGCACCAUCUGCUCAGGUGCUUCCCUGUUGACUCCUCAUGAUGAGAACGUUGCCCUGAAUUCUACUUCAGGACCACAUAAGUCUGAAGAUGAGGUUUCGGUUAACUUGAGUUUGGUGCCAGAUUCCAGCAUUAACGUUUGAGAUUCUGUAGGAGCUGAUGCUCCUUUUGAGAUGAGAUAGUGGUAUCCAGCAGUCAAAGCCCUGCAACUCAACAGCACAAGGCUUCACAACCUUGCACACUUUGGUGCUCCAUGUGCUUCUGAG